GACGUAGGGCGCGAGCGUUGUCCGGAUUUAUUGGGCGUAAAGAGCUCGUAGGCGGCUUGUCGCGUCGGCUGUGAAAACCCGCGGCUCAACUGUGGGCGGGCAGCUGAUACGGGCAGGCUGGAGUUCGGUAGGGGAGACUGGAAUUCCUGGUGUAGCGGUGAAAUGCGCAGAUAUCAGGAGGAACACCGGUGGCGAAGGCGGGUCUCUGGGCCGAUACUGACGCUGAGGCGCGAAAGCUAGGGGAGCAAACGGG
rnacentral:rRNA from 1 species